rnacentral:lncRNA from 1 species
UUAUCCUGAUUUUUUUUAUUUAUUUUUUUUUUUUUUCAGAGCUCCUGUGGACAUAAUAUUUAACUUACUGACCCAUUUCAGUCACCUCAAGACAAGUCCAAUAUUAUGAGGAGCUGUGAUCAUUGCUCAGCAUACAAGUUUCAACUUACCCCAACAUCAAAUAGCAAGAGAAGACAUA